rnacentral:rRNA from 1 species
UCCGCAGGCGGGCAAUUAAGUUAGAGGUGAAAUACCAUAGCUCAACUAUAGAACUGCCUUUGAUACUGGUUGACUUGAGUCAUAUGGAAGUAGAUAGAAUGUGUAGUGUAGCGGUGAAAUGCAUAGAUAUUACACAGAAUACCGAUUGCGAAGGCAGUCUACUACGUAUGUACUGACGCUGAGGGACGAAAGCGUGGGGAGCGAACAGGAUUAGAUACCCUGGUAGUCC